rnacentral:lncRNA from 1 species
UUGGGGGGUUGGGAGGUUUUGGGGGAUUUUGCGGAGAUUUGGAGUUUCCGGGAUUUGGGGAGGAUUUGGGGGAAUUCCGAGAAUUUUUGGGGGAUUCCGAGGAUUUUGGGGGGGAUCCGGGACAUUUUGGGGUGAACUCAGAAAAUUUUGAGUUCAGAUUUUCCGGAAGAAUUUGAAAAAUUCACCAAAUUUGACCAAAACCAUCCCAAAAAAACCCCCCAAAAAAUCCCAAAAAAAUCACCAAAAAAAUCACCAAAAAUCCCCAAAAAAUCACCAAAAAAUCCCCAAAAAUCCCAAAAAAAUCCCCAAAAAAUCCCCCCAAAAAUCACAAAAAAAUCCCCCCAAAAAUCACCAAAAAAUCACCAAAAAUCACCAAAAAAUCACCAAAAAAUUGCCAAAAAAUCACCAAAAAAUUGCCAAAAAAAUCACAAAAAAAUCCCAAAAAAAUCCCCAAAAUUCCCAAAAAAUCCCCAAAAAAUCCCCAGAAAAAUCCCCAAAAAAUCCCCAAAAAUCCCCAAAAAAUCCCCAAAAAAAUCCCCCCCAAAAUCACAAAAAAAUCACCAAAAAAUUGCCAAAAAAUCACCAAAAAAUUGCCAAAAAAUCACAAAAAAAUCCCCCCAAAAAAUCCCAAAAAUCCCAAAAAAUCCCCCAAAAAUCCCCAAAAAAUCACCAAAAAAUCCCCAAAAAUCCCUAAAAAAUCCCCCCAAAAAUCCCCAAAAAAUCACCAAAAAAUCACAAAAAAAUCACCAAAAAAUUGCCAAAAAAUCACAAAAAAAUUGCCAAAAAAUCACAAAAAAAAUCCCCAAAAAAUCCCCAAAAAUCCCAAAAAAAUCCCAAAAAAAUCCCAAAAAAAUCACCAAAAAAUCCCAAAAAAUCCCAAAAAAAUCCCAAAAAAAUCCCCCCAAAAAAUCACCAAAAAAUCCCUCCAAAAAUCACCAAAAAGUCACCAAAAAAUCACCAAAAAAUCCCAAAAAAAUCCCCCAAAAUCCCAAAAAAUCCCCAAAAAAACCCCAAAAAAUCCCUCCGCACCCCAAAACCCCCCAAAUUCACCCCAAAAGCCGCCCUGGCUGAACCCCAACUCUGCUACGUGCUGGACGCCGUCCUCUUCUUCAUCAUCCUCAUCCUCACCGGGCUCUACCUUCGCCUCAGGCUCUCGAUGAGAGGAGCGGCUCCGAAGGUCCGGGGGGGUUUGGGGGGAUUUGGGGGAAUUUGGGGGAUUUUGGGGGAUUUUAGGUGGAUUUGGGUGGAUUUUUUGGGAUUUUUGGGAGGAUUUGGGGGGAUUUUGGGGCGGAUUUUGGGGGAUUUGGGAGGAUUUUGGGA